GAGCCACCCCUAGUUUUUUUUUUUUUCCAUUCCAAGCACCGGGCAAGUCUGACUGUGAGGUCAGGCUUUUACCGUGUUUUCUCGCCUCUAUUCUCUCCUGCGAGCAAGGGCUGGUUUUAGCUCCUCUUGUUUCGCAAAGUUAGUGUUCAGACCGCCAGCUGACUCCUGGGAAGAAGCAUUAAUGGAAUUUCCUCCAGUAUUUUCAUAGCAACCUUCAGAUGAAAGUGUAGAACUCUCAGCUCCUCCUGCAUCAUGACUGCCUGGGGCUGCCAUGUUCCUGCCUUGAUGAUAAUGGACUGAACCUCUAAACCUGACUGGUUGUUCUAUUUCUGAGAUCUCUGAGACCCAGCCCACCAGGAACACACAAAUGUGGAACCGAGAUAGGCUGAGGACUUAUUAAACAGAAUUCUGCUGUUCCUAUCCCAGGGUUGGACCAAUGUGUAGAAAAUUGCUUAUGGGAUUCUUUGAAUGACUUUUUCAUUGCGGGAAAUAUUAAAAAUGAACCUGCCAACCUUCCACACUCCUGCUUCUUUCAAGCCACCAACUCAAGAGAUCUGUCUCUGCCUCCUACGUGCUGGAAUCAAAGAAAUUACUUCACUGCCAUUAGAGCCUACUUCUUCAGGAUUCUGCUUAUACUGAAAACCAUGUGGGACAUCCAGCCUUGUGGACUGAACAACUUCUGGCUUCUUGGACCUUUCACUGUUAGUCAGCCAUUGUUGGACCACAGCCUAUAAGUCGUUCUAAUAAAUCUCCUACAUAUAGAUUCAG
rnacentral:lncRNA from 1 species